rnacentral:rRNA from 1 species
ACAUUCAAAGAGUGCGUAACAGCUCACUAGUCGAGAGGUCCUGCGCCGAAAAUGUCCGGGGCUGAAACACAACACCGAAGCUGCGGAAUCACGCAAGUGAUUGGUAGAGGAGCAUUCUUAAUACCGACGAAGCUGUACCGGAAGGAGCAGUGGAGGGAUAAGAAGAGAGAAUGCCGGAAUGAGUAGCGAGAGAGAGGUGGGAAUCCUCUCGGCCGAAUAUCCAAGGUUUCCAGAGUAAAGCUGAUCUGCUCUGGGUAAGUCGGGGCCUAAGGCGAGGUCAAGAGACGUAGCCGAUGGACAACAGGUUUAGAUUCCUGUACCGCAUAUAAACAGAACUGUGGGGACGCAUGGGGAGAGCAUGGGCCGGGAAUGGAAAUACCGGUGCAAGCGAAGGAGGUGUGCAGCCGGCAAAUCCGCUGCAUGAGCCGAAAGCGUGACGCGGAGCGAAAUGAAAGUAGCGAAGCAUGUGAGCCCUGUGCCGAGAAAAGCCGCUAUAGCUUUAUAUGUGCCCGUACCGUAAACCGACACAGGUGGAUGAGGAGAGAAUCCUAAGGCCGGCGGAAGAAGUAUUGUUAAGGAACUCGGCAAAAUGACCCCGUAACUUCGGGAGAAGGGGUGCCCACGGGAGUGGGCCGCAGAGAAUAGGCUCAAGCAACUGUUUAGCAAAAACACAGGUCUAUGCGAAACCGAAAGGUGAAGUAUAUGGGCUGACGCCUGCCCGGUGCUGGAAGGUUAAGAGGAGAGGUUAGAGCAAUCGAAGCUUUGAAUUUAAGCCCCAGUAAACGGCGGCCGUAACUAUAACGGUCCUAAGGUAGCGAAAUUCCUUGUCGGGUAAGUUCCGACCCGCACGAAAGGCGUAAUGAUUUGAGCACUGUCUCGACAAUACAUCCGGUGAAAUUGAAGUACCAGUGAAGAUGCUGGUUACCCGCGCCAGGACGGAAAGACCCCAUGGAGCUUUACUCCAGUUUGGUACUGGGAUUCGGUACUGCACGUACAGGAUAGGUGGGAGACUAAGAAACUUGAACGCCAGUUUGAGUGGAGUCGCUGUUGGGAUACCACCCCUGCAGUAUUGGAUUUCUAACCAGUCACCGUGAUCCGGUGAUGGGACAAUGCCAGGCGGGGAGUUUGACUGGGGCGGUCGCCUCCGAAAGGGUAUCGGAGGCGCUCAAAGGUUCCCUCAGAAUGGUCGGAAACCAUUUGAAGAGUGCAAAGGCAGAAGGGAGCUUGACUGCGACACCGACGGGUGGAGCAGGUAGGAAACUAGGACUUAGUGAUCCGGUGGCAUAAAGUGGGAUUGCCAUCGCUCAACGGAUAAAAGCUACCCUGGGGAUAACAGGCUUAUCACUCCCAAGAGUUCACAUCGACGGAGUGGUUUGGCACCUCGAUGUCGGCUCAUCGCAUCCUGGGGCUGUAGCAGGUCCCAAGGGUUGGGCUGUUCGCCCAUUAAAGCGGUACGCGAGCUGGGUUCAGAACGUCGUGAGACAGUUCGGUCCCUAUCCGGCGCGGGCGGAGGAUAUUUGAGAGGAGCUGUCCUUAGUACGAGAGGACC